UUUUUACUUCUUAACGACCACUCCACAUGUGUCUGUGUCAUUACUCCUAAUGGCACAAAACUAAGGACUCUGGUGUUCCUGCAGUCAUGGAAGCUGCAUCACUAUGAGAAGUUGAUAUGGGAAAUGAAGUACCUCUGACUCCUUGAAAUAAAUUACAACCCUAGAGACUUUAGAAGACUGUCUAGGUUCCAGUUUUGUUAACCAGAAAAUAAGAAUGGCUUUGCCCACUAAUCAACAUCUCUUGACAGUUUGGCAUUCCCGAAAGAAAUGACAUGCAAAAUUGCCUCUGGUGUGGCA
rnacentral:lncRNA from 1 species